AAUGCACCUUGCACUCCUUGGUAUUCUGAGGAGUAUGCCUGUUUGAGUGUCAUUAAAUUCUCAAACCUUUCCAAGUUUGUUUGGCUUGGGAUGGUUUGGAUGUGAGGGUUGCUGGUCUGUAUCGACCAGCUCUCUUUAAAUGCAUUAGUGGGUUGCAUGGUCUGCCUUCACUUGGUGUGAUAGUUAUCUAUGCCAUUUGGAGGAUUGAAUUUAUGCCAAUAUACUCCUGCUUCUAACUGUCCUUGUUUGACUUUUUGACCAUUUGACCUCAAAUCAGGUAGGACUAUCUGCUGAACUUAA
rnacentral:misc_RNA from 1 species